UGCAAACAAGGUCUGACAAGACAUAAUAGGAUUUCGGUCCUCAUCCGGGUCGUACUCGAUGUCAUACUCAGGGUCCUCCUCCACGUACUCCUCUUCGGGUUCCUCAACAAGGAUCUCCUCGUCAGAUUCAUGCUCCUUAGGCUCCUCAUCCAGGUCCUGAAAUGGUUAUUCAAUAACCACUGAGACCACGUCUCAGCAAGUUCUACCUCCUAAGACCCGAUUAGUAAACUAAUACACCUUAGGGCUGCCUAUGCACAACAUGAGUCAAAGGACUUACCUUAGCCUCAGAUUCCACCUGCAUAUUAGUACAGAUCAAAUAGGCACACAAGCAAUCACAUCACAGAUCGAAGCAUCGAUCUAAUCGACUUAGUCGAUUACAUGUCAACAAGACCACUCACGGUCACUUUCAUUCAAUCGAUCAUUUCGGUCGUCGGCCAUCAAAAUCUUAAUUUCCGAAAAAAAUAAAUAAAUAAUUAAUUAAUUAAUUUCGAAAAUUAAAUAAAUAAAUACAAUAAAUUCAAUUUAGCACAAUAUAAAGCUCAAUUAAAUAAACGGAUUAUGCCAUGAUCAUCAGCAUAAAAUCCCGGUCACUGGCCAUCCCAGUUGAAUUUCCAGGAAAUAAAUAAUUAAAUAAUUAAUUUCGAAAAUUAAUAUUUAACUCCUAAAAAUACCACCUAGGCCCGAAUCGCUUAAUUAACACCCGAUAAGGGACGGGAAAAAUCCCAAGAAACAUCCAAUAAAUACUAUAGGCAAUUCUCUAUCUAAUUACACUAAUCACACAACUAAUAUGCAAAGCAAUUAACUAAUAAUCACUAAUCAAUUGUAAUCUAACCACCUAAUUACACUUAAUUAACACUAAUCAACCUUUAAGUAUAAUUAGCGCACUAAGAAGGCAUUAGUGAGUAAAACUCACUCAAAACGUCGGGCUCAACGCGAGGAUCGACUUUCCUCAAAGUGGGCCGAGCAUCCGGGCUCGGGAAGACGGCCAAAACGGGCCAAAACCCACUGUCAUACCCAUUUUCUGUCUUCUCUGAUCGCUGCUGGAAGGGGCGGUUCCGGCGUCGGUUGAGGCGACCAAGGGCGGCUGAGGGCGAGGCGGAGCUUCGGCGAGGUCGACGGUGGCUAGAGGAGGUCGGGCGACGGCCGGAGGCGACUGAACGAGACUGAACAGAGGUGGCGGGAGCUGGACAGCAGCUCUGGAACAGCGAGCUGGGCGAGAGAGCGACCAAGGCGCGCGGAGACAAUCGGCGAGCGGCGGAGCACGCGGGUGGGGCGAGUAGCGACGGCAGCUCCGGUUUUCUUCUCUCGGCGCUGCUGUUCUGCUUCUGUUUCUGUUCGAACCAGAGAGAGGAGAGGGGCGGACGCGCGUGGACGGCAGUUCGGCGGUGAGCUUGGGUGCGCGCGAGCAGCUUCGGUGGCUUGCGGGCGUGCGACGACGGCGGCGAGAGGUAGUGAUGGCAGCUCAGUCUUCGGCUUCCAUGGAGUCGAGCAACCGAAGAGGAAGAUGGGGGGUUUGGUCGACGGAGGAGAGAGAUGAGGAAGAGAAAAUCAAUUUCUCCUUUUCCUCUCACACUCUCUCUCUCUCUCUCUCUUAGGUCAGCCACACGUGGGCCACCACCAGCUGUCUUCCACCCUUCAAUUUUUGACAAAUAUGCCCCCUUCUAGAAGCAUUUAGGUAGGCCAAAAUAUGGGGUAAGUGUGGCAUACGAAUUUGCUAGGUUUUCUUUCCAAUUGGGCCUUAAUUCCUCUUGAAUUAAAUCAAACUAACCCCCAUUAAUUUAUUCAACACCUCGUCAUUCCAAUUGGUAUUUUUCCUUACCAAUAUAGCCCACUUGCAUCCCAAUUUCACAAUCCCUGGCUUCAACUGAAUAAAAACGGUCAUAUUUAUCCAGUCGAAUUAAAACCCGAAAAUCUGGAUGUCACAACUCUUCCCCUCUUAUAAAAAUUCCGUCCUCGAAAUUUAAACCAUUAAAAAUUCUUCUUCAAAAUGGUGGGGUAUUGUUGUCUCAUCGAUUCUGCUCCUUCAUUCUGCUUCGUACUACUAUCCAAGAUCCUCGGUGCUGACGAAACAUUUCCGAAUUAACCAGACCAAUUCUUGAUUCCCAAAAAGGCUAAGCACUUGUCCAUUUUGCAAAAAUGAAAGUUGCAAAAGUUUUGGUUCUUUUUUUUUUUUCUUAUUUUUCCACAAAGCGGCUAACUACCGCGUCGGGGAUUCGAACUCCCGACUUCGGACCUUUCGCUUCUUCCCGGGUACCACUCGGCUACAAGCGCCGACGGUGUCUCGAAAUGCUUAUUUAAUUCAUUUAAAGCUAAAACCCUCUUUUGAACUCAAAUUUCGAUGGAUUCCGAUUUAAAUGCCGAUUCAUCUUCCCUUCCUUAAUAGAUCGAGACGUCCUCACCAAGGGCGACACCCAAGGAAAAAUACACUUCCCCACUUAAAAUUUCAAAGGUCUUCGACACAAAAUCUGCAAAGCUAACUGGCGAUUCUGAGCAGUCUCAAAUCUGUCUCUAAUAACUGCGACUGAAUCACUGAUUCUAAACCAACUCUGGACCUGCGAUUUUCUGAUCUCUGAUCUCAUCUCAACGACUGAAGUUAUGUACACUCUGCUCUGCACGGAUUAAAAAGAAACUAUCUGACCGAUCUACUAAAACUGGGAACCUCUGGUCAAGAUCUGAUAUAACUCUGACACUGAUCUCGGCAACUGCAAUCACUGACUACUGUACUGACCCUGGCCUGUGAUCUUUCUUUCCCUGACUCCAUCUCAGCAAUUGAAAUUCUGUACCCUCUGCUAUACACUGCUUAAUAAAGAACCCUCUGAAAAAUUUGCCAAAUUUAUAAUCUCUGAUCUAGAUUCGAAAUAUAAUUCAUCCCCGGCACUCCAUGCCGGCGAAUUAUCUGAUGCACACACACUUCGGUAUACCCACUCUGUGACAAGAUAGGAUCUUCAAUUUCUGAAAUCGAACUUAGAUUGGCGGUUAAUUUCACUCCGACAUACUUUUAGUGUGACCUAGGCUACUGGGUAGUGUUCAGAGCUUUUUAGGACAAAUGACCCGUGGUCGAUUUUCUUCGAGCCACAAUAAACCCACUCGACCCAUUGGUGACUCUCGAUUGUCGUGAAAAUCUCCAAGAUUCAAAUACGGACACAGGGUACCAAAACGACAGUAAAAUCAAAUUAGUACCAGUCGAUGAGAGUUUUCCAAUUUAGUGGAGUCACCCACGAUCGGUCAUUCAUCUCAGUCGAACCGAUCUAUCUCUGAUUUCAAAUCGGUUUUAUACUGUGCCGCAAUGAUCUCUAAAGAUGAGCACGGUCGAGAAGUCGAUCCCUGGUCGAAUUCUCAAGUCUAUUUGCCUUAAGGUCCUUAAUAACUCACCCAGCUAGUCUAGUUAUCUCAUGAGUGGCCAACUCAGAGAAAAACACUGUAAUCGCGUCGAUGAAAUGCCCAAUUUAUCUAAUCGAAAUCAGAGCCCGAAAUCAAGAUGUUACACACUCAAAACAAGAUCUAUUCGUACUGUACUAAAGUGGACCAACUCCAUCUAUCGAUCGACUAUUAUCCUCAAAUGGUAUCAGUAAUCCCCUGAAUCUUUAGUAAGCCUAUCACAAUGUUCCAUUGUGAUAUAUUUCCAUUCCCACUUGGGACUCUCAAGUGAUGGUAAAAAUUCUCCCGGUCCGCAUUACCGAGCUUCCACUUACUGACACCUCUGACACUUGCAACCUGCUCAGCGGUAUCUAUCUUCAUAUCAAUCUACUAAUCUAGCUGAUGUCAAUUCUGACUUACUUGAAUUGCUUAACCAAACACUGCAAUACUUACAGUGAAUUUCUAACAAGGUCUUUUCCCUGAGUGCUGCACUGUCAGGUGCACUCAAUUCCCCAUGGAACCCGAACGUUCCAUCCUCAGAAGUCUUAAAGUCAGAUUCUUUCUUGCUAGUAUCAUCUUAUAAGAUCUUCUGAACAUCUCUGUCUGUCAACUAGGCGCUGAUUCUAACUUGAACAUUUGGUUCAAUCUUGAGGGUGGCUAUAAAAUUCAAAAGGUAGCCUGCCUCAAUUUUGAAAACCAAAUUUCGAACCAUUUUCAAGUAAAGUCUAUACUUUAACCAGUCUAUGCACAAUUGAAGACUCUCGGCUCAACACAUUAAUGACUCAUUUUGUUCCUCCAAGGUGAUACCCGAUAUCACUAUUAUAGUUCUGCCAAAAUUCUGGUUCACGACACCGCUUCGUAUUCCACUUAUUGGGUCUCAACUAGCGGAACGGUGAUGCAACAACUUCUCAUGUUGUAUCAAUGCAUACCCCGUCCUCUGCAAGACGCAUCACUAAAGAUUCCGUACUUUCCAGAGCCAAAUGAAAAGUUUAGCACAAGUACGAUAGUCAGUUCUUACUUAAGCUUUGGAAACUAUCCUCGUACUUGUCUAUGCUGAUGAAUUCUCUUCUUUCUUAAGAGGUCAAGCCCACGAUGGUACUGAUGCUGAAAAUUCUUUCACAAACCUUCUGUAGUAAUCUGUCCAAUCCCCACGGCUUCUGAUCUCUGAAAUUGAUGUCGGUCUUGGUCCAUAAACAACUGAUUCAAUCUUGGCUGGUCCACGGAGAUUCCUUUACCUGUAAUCACAUGACCAUUCUUAGGGGCUCUUGUGAUCCUCAUCACUUAAUGAAUACCCUAGAAUGUCACUACACCACACGAUCACCAUUGAUCUAGAUAUUCUUUGAAUACUCGGUUUGUCAAGUCUAUGACAACGGCUGGAGCGUUCGUUAUAUCAAAUGGCUUUACAUUAUUCUCACAAGGGCUAAAUCAAGUGCAAAGUGUUGUCUUCAGUAUAACCUCCUUCCUGGUUCUCUACUGACGAUAACCUGUCCUCAAGUCGAUCCUUGAAGACAUCAACACUCUUUAUAACAAGUCACCCAAUUAAGUUGACAAUGGUUGAUGCAUGAUUGCAAUGAACCAUCUUCAUUUCUCUUUCCACAAGACUGAUGUUCCUUAAAGCGAUGCACUAAUAUGCAUGAAUUCCUCAUUCAUCAAUCUUCACAUCCGUACCUUCGGUUCUAUCAAUUCAAACAACAAUAACUAGUAAGAAGCCUUCGAGAGUGGCUCUAUGCUGGUGCUAGCUCGAUCAUAAUUUCUAUCUCUUUCUCUGGCAACGGUCUGACAGUUCUUAUGACAACACAUCUAGAAAUUCUCAUACCACUGAGAUGUCUUCUAUCUCCAAUUCUCCAAUCUGUCUUAACUAUAACCAUCACCAAGUAACCUCGACAAUCUCCAUCGAACAAGUGGGUUGUCUUCAAUCGAUGAGAUUAAAGAAAUCGAAGAUUCAUUUCGACUCCCAAUAAACUCGACACUUUCAUGUGCUCCUGGACUAAGUUAAAUUGCUCCACGACCAUGCUCUAUUACUUCAAGAUGCUCCAUGAGCCCAUUCUACUCAUGUAGUGUCGAAGUUACACCUCAGCAACUAGUCAAGCAUGACUAUUACUAGUGAUUCCCCUUUCUUCCACUUAUUUCAAUAAACAGAAGUUCCCCAAACUUCAUCAAAACUCUGCUACGAUACUCUGAUAGAAUUUUCCCCAAAACAUUCUUCCUCUGUCUAGUGCCAGGUCGGUUCCAUUUCUGUUCUUCUCACCAUACCUGGACACUGAAUUCAUCCAGGUUUUCUUCCAUAAUUUCGACACCUAUCUAGUGAGUCUUCUACCUCUUGCCAAGUGCUAGGAUGCACUAUUUCUUAUACCAGAGACCUAUCCCAGAAAUUCCACAGUGCGUUCUAUGGCGCACUUCUUCUGACCUGUCUUAUCGACGGUGACAGCAGUAACCCUUGUCGGGAUUCCAUCUACUAAUGCGGACAACCCAUAAAUCAUUAUCCGUACUGGCGAUGUUUUACACAAACUCCUGUCCUCAUAAUACACGAGACUGAUCCAUAUCGUCAUCCAUGGAACAACAUGUUCCAUUUGUCUGAAUGCUGACCUGACUAUUCCACCAUUCCUAUUGAGUGGAACAAAAUACUCUUCCCUCAACCUCAGUCUUUUCCCCUGACCUAAUUCCAAAUCUGCUUGGCUGAAUCUGGACUCAAAUAUCGAAUUCUAUUCUCUGAUUAUCCUUCCAGGUUGGACCUCAAUAAAGGUAGCAACAACAACAACUUGAUUCUGAUUUUACCGGCUCAUCCAGAUCCCAAGGAACACUUGCAUCAAAUCAAUCUUAUCGGGCUUAGGAUCAUUCAACGCUGCUACACUAGUACCAACCUGCGGUGGCACUCUUACACUCAAGCUGGCCAGAGUCAACACUCUGCCUUCCGAAUCCACAAUAAUUAAAAGCAAGCAAUUCACACCCGACAACCAAUUCUACCAAUCAGCUAUCAAAGACAUGCACCAUUCAUGAAUUUAAAGGCCUUUCCUACUACUAUCCCAUAGGUCAUCGCACCUUAUCACUCCAAUACCUAACCAUUGCUCUGAUACCACAAAAAGGGGAUGUCACGCCCCGACCCUCAAGCACGCACACAUCCCUUACUUUUGGUCGAUUUUAAAAUGCGAUAUCCUAGGACUAUGUAUCGCCGACCCUUUAAUUUAUAUAUGCACAUGCGGAAGCUGUUAUAAAUCCCUAGACAAUAAAGCAAUGUGAUAGAAAAGCAGGCCAUACAUUUUUUUCUUUCUUAAAAUUCACAACUACAUCUUUUUACAUGCAAACAAGGUCUGACAAGACAUAAUAGGAUUUCGGUCCUCAUCCGGGUCGUACUCGAUGUCAUACUCGGGGUCCUCCUCCACGUACUCCUCUUCGGGUUCCUCAACAAGGAUCUCCUCGUCAGAUUCAUGCUCCUUAGGCUCCUCAUCCAGGUCCUGAAAUGGUUAUUCAAUAACCACUGAGACCACGUCUCAGCAAGUUCUACCUCCUAAGACCCGAUUAGUAAACUAAUACACCUUAGGGCUGCC
rnacentral:lncRNA from 1 species